GAUGAACGCUGGCGGCGUGCCUAGCACAUGCAAGUCGAGCGAUUCUCUUCGGAGAAGAGCGGCGGACGGGUGAGUAACGCGUGGGUAACCUGCCCUGUACACACGGAUAACAUACCGAAAGGUAUGCUAAUACGAGAUAAUAUGCUUUUAUCGCAUGGUAGAAGUAUCAAAGCUUUUGCGGUACAGGAUGGACCCGCGUCUGAUUAGCUAGUUGGUAAGGUAACGGCUUACCAAGGCGACGAUCAGUAGCCGACCUGAGAGGGUGAUCGGCCACAUUGGAACUGAGACACAGUCCAAACGCCUACGGGAGGCAGCAGUGGGGAAUAUUGCACAAUGGGCGAAAGCCUGAUGCAGCAACGCCGCGUGAGCGAUGAAGGCCUUCGGGUCGUAAAGCUCUGUCCUCAAGGAAGAUAAUGACGGUACUUGAGGAGGAAGCCCCGGCUAACUACGUGCCAGCCGCCGCCGUAA
rnacentral:rRNA from 1 species